rnacentral:sRNA from 1 species
GAGUAGCUGGUAUUACAGGCGUGUGCCACAAAGCCUGGCUAAGUUUUGUAUUUUUAGUAGAGACGGGGUUUCACCAUGUUGGCCAGGUUGGUCUCGAACUCCUGACCUCAAGUGAUCCACUCACUUUGGCCUUUCAACGUGCUGGGAUUACAGGCGAGAGUCACCGCACCCGGACGACUCUGACAUUUUUGAAGAGUCCAGAAUCCUGUUACACCUGGGAUUUAGGCACUUUCAAUCUGAAAAAAUACAUAUCCUUUCAGCACUCUGGACGGACUUGAGAACUGUCCUUACGUGACCUAAAGCUGGAGUAUUUUGAGAUUGGAGAAUUAAGAGCCAGUCUUGGUGCUCUGUGUUCACCUGGUUCAUCUGAGGAGCUGCAUCUACCCUGCCCAUGCCAUAGAUCCUGCCCUGUUUGCUUCUCCUGUUGCUGCUAGUGGACAUGAGGACAGAAUAACGGGCUCCCAGAUUCACAAGCCCCACCAAGAGGAUCACCCCAGGAAUGCUUGGAGGCUGAGGAGUUCACUGAGGCUACUGCAUCUUGAGACUCAGGAUGAAGACCCAGCUUGGGGCUGUCAAAGGUUUUUUGCAUGUCUGACACCCAUGACUCCACCUGGACCUUAUGGCUCCACCCAGAAGCAAUUCAGCCCAACAGGAGGACAGCUUCAACCCAUUACGAUUUCAUCUCUGCCCCAACCACUCAGCAGCAAGCACCUGUUACCUGUCCAUCCCCACCCCUUCCCCCAAACUGCCUUUGAAAAAUCCCUAACCUAUGAGCUUUGAAUAAGAUGAGUACGAACUUCAUCGCCCAUGUGGCGUGGCCGGCCUCGUGUCUAUUAAAUUCUUUUUCUACUACAA